GAUAUUGAUGAUGACAGCAGCGGCAAU
rnacentral:sRNA from 1 species